AGAACUCUUCUCACAGUGCUGCAGCUGACUAAACUACAUUUAAAACACAAGAUAAAACUAUAACCUUACAAUGCUAACAAUGUACAUUAUUACAUCUGUCACUUUGUUAUUUUAUUUAGGUUAUUAUUGGUUGAUCUCAUUCUUUGGCAGUGUUAAAAGAAAAGAAAAGUAAAAUCCUGCAAACCCAGGAAGAGGAAGACAAAAGAGGAAGAGCUGAGACAAACACUGGUGAUUUGUCUUUGAAGCAGAGGAGCGUCACGUCUCUCUCUCUCUUUCACCUGUCUGCAAACACGGAAGAGAAGCAGCGCGAGGAAGAGGUGUUUCUCUGCUAUGGAUCAGUGUGAGGACAGAGAGGAGGGAGUCCCUCCCUCUAAAAGCUCUCUGUGUGGGGAACAUGACAGCCAGACCAAAGCUCAGAGG